rnacentral:rRNA from 1 species
UGACAAGAAAUAACAAUACAGGGGCUCUUCGAGUCUUGUAAUUGGAAUGAGUACAAUUUACAUCUCUUCACGAGGAUCAAUUGGAGGGCAAGUCUGGUGCCAGCAGCCGCGGUAAUUCCAGCUCCAAUAGCGUAUAUUAAAGUUGUUGCAGUUAAAACGCUCGUAGUCGGAUUUCGGGGCGGGCCCGCCGGUCUGCCGAUGGGUAUGCACUGGCGGGGGCGCCCUUCCUCCCGGAGACGGCUGCUACUCUUAACUGAGCGGUGGCCGGAGACGGGAUAUUUACUUUGAAAAAAUCAGAGUGUUUCAAGCAGGCAGUCGCUCUUGCAUGGAUUAGCAUGGGAUAAUGAAAUAGGACUCUGGUGCUAUUUUGUUGGUUUCGGAGCACCGGAG